rnacentral:rRNA from 1 species
UGUUUCGGCUAGGGGGCCAUCCCGGCUUACCAACCCGAUGCAAACUGCGAAUACCGGAGAAUGUUAUCACGGGAGACACACGGCGGGUGCUAACGUCCGUCGUGAAGAGGGAAACAACCCAGACCGCCAGCUAAGGUCCCAAAGUCAUGGUUAAGUGGGAAACGAUGUGGGAAGGCCCAGACAGCCAGGAUGUUGGCUUAGAAGCAGCCAUCAUUUAAAGAAAGCGUAAUAGCUCACUGGUCGAGUCGGCCUGCGCGGAAGAUGUAACGGGGCUAAACCAUGCACCGAAGCUGCGGCAGCGACGCUGAUGCGUUGUUGGGUAGGGGAGCGUUCUGUAAGCCUGCGAAGGUGGCCUGUGAGGGUUGCUGGAGGUAUCAGAAGUGCGAAUGCUGACAUAAGUAACGAUAAAGCGGGUGAAAAGCCCGCUCGCCGGAAGACCAAGGGUUCCUGUCCAACGUUAAUCGGGGCAGGGUGAGUCGACC